CCUACGGGGAGCAGCAGUGGGGAAUAUUGCACAAUGGGGGAAACCCUGAUGCAGCGACGCCGCGUGAGUGAAGAAGUAUUUCGGUAUGUAAAGCUCUAUCAGCAGGGAAGAAAAUGACGGUACCUGAUUAAGAAGCCCCGGCUAACUACGUGCCAGCAGCCGCGGUAAUACGUAGGGGGCAAGGGUUAUCCGGAUGUACUGGGUGUAAAGGGAGCGUAGACGGCAGCACAAGUCUGGAGUGAAAUGCCGGGGCUUAACCCGGGCAUUGCUUGGGAAACUGUGCAGCUUGAGUGCAGGGAAGGUAGGUGGAAUUCCUGGUGUAGCGGUGAAUGGCGUAGAUAUGAGGAGGAACCCCGGUGGCGAAGGCGGCUUGCUGCAUUGUAACGGACGUUGAGGCUCGAAAGCGGGGGGAGCAAACAGGAUUAGAUACCCUUGUAGUC
rnacentral:rRNA from 1 species